AGACAGUUCGGUCCCUAUCCGGCGCGGGCGUAGGAUAUUUGAGAGGAGCUGCCCUUAGUACGAGAGGACCGGGGUGGACUGGCCUCUGGUGUAUCUGUUGAGCCAUCAGGCUCAUGGCAGAGUAGCCAAGCCGGGACGGGAUAAACGCUGAAGGCAUCUAAGCGUGAAGCCCCCCUCAAGAUGAGAUAUCCCAUACGCAAGUAGUAAGACCCCUUGAAGACGACGAGGUAGAUAGGGCAGAGGUGGAAGCGUAGUAAUACGUGAAGCUGACUGUUACUAAUCGGUCGAGGGCUUAACCAAAA
rnacentral:rRNA from 2 species